rnacentral:antisense_RNA from 1 species
GGGAGACGCCGGGGGAGGAAGGCAGCCGGGAGAAGGAAAGCUGGGACGGGCCGGGACCACAGGAGCCCCAGCCCCACACAGCAACCACCCGGGCGAGAAAGAAAGAAAGAGCCAGGGAGGCGGGCGAAGCGCGGGGAGAGAAGCAGAGAAGAAAUAUUCACCUUCCCGCCUCAUGCCCACUUUGAGGCACUUCUUGAGGCGACAGUAUUGGCACUGGUUGCGGUGGUGCUGGUCGAUGGGACAGUUCCUGUUGGCACGGCAUGUGUAAGUUAAGUUCCUGCGGACGCUCCUCUUGAAGAAACUUUUGCAGCCCUCGCAGCAGGUAGAUGAAACUCAAGAGAAAAGGUGUGGAUAAAUGAAACUAGCUCAUGAUGAACCUGUUUUCUCCGUGACCACAAUAUUAACCAGGAUGAUGGCGGUGGCAGUGGGCCUGCAUCACAGGUUGCAGCAGAUAUUCUCAAUAUUUCUAUUAAAAUUUCCUUAUUUCCAUAUGCAAGAGGAGACCCAGAGCUGCAUCCUUAUGGUAGCUACCAUGCUGUGAUGUAAGCUGCCAUUCACUGGGGAGCUUUGGCAAUAGAAUUGGCUAGAUCAGCAAGUGCAUCUCAACUAUGGAACAACAACUUGCAGCUCAUCUCUAUUGAUG